AUGAAGCCCCCCGAUGUCAGCCCCGCCAUCCUCGCCUUCGACACGGCCACCUCGGCGCUGGUCGCCAUGCCGUGGCCCAAGUUCCGCAUGAACUUCGGCCGGCCCAUCCUCAUCUCCAUCGCCGGCAGGAUCUUCCUGUUCAUCAACGACACGCACUACCUCGGCGACCCGCCACCGCCCCCGCCCCUGCCGUCGAUCUGGGGGCGCACCUACCAACCGCACCAGCCGCAGGAGCCGUGGGUCUGGACCGCCGUCGGCACGCCGGAGGCGCGUCUGCCAUUCACGGCCAGCUGCGGCCACUGCCACGCCUUGCACCCAGACGGUUGCACACUGUUCGUGUCCGCCGUCUAUUGGGCCGACGAAUCUGAGCAGGGGACCUUCUCCUUCGACACAGACCGCCUCGAGUGGACGCGCCACGGCGACUGGCGGCUACCUUUCCUCGGCCAAGCGUACUACGUCGCCGAGCUUGACGCGUGGGUCGGCAUCUGCCGCCACAAGGGCGGCACUGGCCACGUCUGCUCCUCCGACGUCGUGCCCGUCGGCGCUGGGCCGACGACCCUGCCGCGCUGGAAGCUCGCGGAGGAGAGGCUGUUCGACAGGGAAUGUCCGCGGCACCUGGGCGCCAGGCUCGUGCACAUGGGCGGCGCCAGGUUCUGCGUCGUCGAGUACACGUGGCACGAGGGCGACGACGAGAUGCGGUGCAAGGGCGACCCGGACGGGUGGUACGUCGGGCCUCCCCGCGUCGUGGUCCGCCUGACCACGUUUGGUGUCAAGUACGGCGCCGACGGGGAGCUGCGGCUCGAGUCGCGACGAGCUCGCUGUCCCAACGUGUUCAAUCGAGCUCAUGGCUUCCCGGAUACAUACCCCGUGGCAUUCUGGAUUUAG
rnacentral:rRNA from 1 species